rnacentral:rRNA from 1 species
CCUACGGGAGGCAGCAGUAGGGAAUCUUUCACAAUGGGCGAAAGCCUGAUGGAGCAACGCCGCGUGCAGGAUGAAGGCCUUCGGGUUGUAAACUGCUUUUAUAAGCGAGAAAUAUGAUGGUAACUUAUGAAUAAGGAUCGGCUAACUACGUGCCAGCCGCCGCGGUCAUACGUAGGAUCCGAGCAUUAUCCGGAGUGACUGGGUGUAAAGAGUUGCGUAGGUGGCAUAAUAAGUAGCUAGUGAAAUCUGGUGGCUCAACAAUUCAGACUAUUAGCUAAACUGUUAAGCUCGAGACCGUUAGGGGUAACUGGAAUUUCUAGUGUAGGAGUGAAAUCCGUAGAUAUUAGAAGGAACACCAAUAGCGUAGGCAGGUUGCUGGGACGGUUCUGACACUAAGGCACGAAAGCGUAGGGAGCAAACGGGAUUAGAUACCCCUGUAGUC